rnacentral:rRNA from 1 species
UACGUAGGGAGCAAGCGUUGUCCGGAAUCAUUGGGCGUAAAGCGCGCGUAGGUGGCUUCGUAAGUCCGCUGUGAAAGUCAAAGGCUCAACCUUUGAAAGCCGGUGGAUACUGCGGAGCUAGGAGUCCGGAAGAGGCGAGUGGAUUCCUGGUGUAGCGGUGGAAUGCGCAGAUAUCAGGAGGAACACCAUAGCGAAGGCAGCUCGCU